CACCAAGGCGACGAUCCCUAGCUGGUCUGAGAGGAUGAUCAGCCACACUGGAACUGAGACACGGUCCAGACUCCUACGGGAGGCAGCAGUGGGGAAUAUUGCACAAUGGGCGCAAGCCUGAUGCAGCCAUGCCGCGUGUAUGAAGAAGGCCUUCGGGUUGUAAAGUACUUUCAGUAGGGAGGAAGGUGGUUAAGUUAAUACCUUAAUCAUUUGACGUUACCUACAGAAG
rnacentral:rRNA from 1 species